GUCUCUGGCCAUGCCACCUUGAACAAGCCCGAUCUGGUCUGUUCUCGGAAGCUAAGCAGGAUUGGACCUGAUUAGUACUUGGAUGGGAGACCACCUAGGAAGACCAGGUGCUGUAGGUG
rnacentral:rRNA from 1 species